GGCUGCCUACGGGGCGCAGCAGUGGGGAAUAUUGCACAAUGGGGGGAACCCUGAUGCAGCGACGCCGCGUGGGUGAAGGAGUAUUUCGGUAUGCAAAGCCCUAUCAGCAGGGAAGAACAAUGACGGUACCUGACUAAGAAGCACCGGCUAAAUACGUGCCAGCAGCCGCGGUAAUACGUAUGGGGCAAGCGUUAUCCGGAUUUACUGGGUGUAAAGGGAGCGCAGGCGGCGCGUUAAGCCUGGUGUGAAAGCCCGCGGCCCAACCGCGGGACGGCAUUGGGAACUGGCGCGCUGG
rnacentral:rRNA from 1 species